rnacentral:lncRNA from 1 species
GAAGAACCCGUGUCACAUAUCAAGCUACCCUUAUAUGAUCAUGUUUGGUAUAGCGGAAAUUGCAUUUUCUCAAAUCCCGGACUUUGAUCAAAUAUGGUGGCUCUCAAUUGUGGCCGCGGUCAUGUCCUUUACUUACUCUUCAAUAGGUCUUGCACUUGGAGUUGCCAAAGUUGUAGGUAUGGAUGUUGCUUUAAUUUGUCUAGUGAAUUUGUGCCAAGAAAAUUGAAUGACUUCAUCUGUUUGAGCUGAUGAAUUGAGCUUUGAUCUUCAUAUCUAUGGCAGCUGCUGGAGGUUUCAAGGGUAGUCUCACUGGAAUAAGCAUUGGAACUGUAACUCAAACCCAAAAGAUUUGGAGGAGCUUCCAAGCUUUAGGCGACAUAGCUUUUGCAUACUCAUAUUCCAUCAUCCUCAUCGAAAUUCAGGUAAAAUAAAAUAAAAUUUAUCAGUUGUAAAACUCAUGGAAACCAAACCAAAAAAAAAUCCCUGAAGCAGUGACUAACCCAUGUUGUGGUUAACAGGACACCCUCAAGUCCCCACCAUCAGAAUCAAAGACAAUGAAGAAGGCCACCUUAGUAAGUAUUGCGGUCACAACAGCUUUCUACAUGCUUUGUGGGUGCAUGGGGUAUGCAGCUUUUGGGGACCUUGCACCUGGAAACCUUCUAACCGGAUUUGGCUUCUACAACCCCUAUUGGCUCCUGGAUAUUGCAAAUGUUGCCAUAGUAGUCCACCUUGUUGGAGCAUAUCAAGUCUACUGCC